rnacentral:rRNA from 1 species
AGCUGAUCUCAGGCAAGAGGACCCGCCGAAUUUAAACAUAUUACUAAGCGGAGGAAAAGAAACUAACAAGGAUUCCCUCAGUAACGGCGAGUGAAGCGGGAUCAGCUCAAUUUGAAAAGCUCUGCGAUUUUAUCGCGGCGCAUUGUAUCCUUGCUAUGGACCUUUGUUUGGCUUCGGGUGCAAUUCGUUAUUGAGAUAGCGAGCCGGAGAGGGUAACAGCCCCGUUCCGUCCGAAAUGCCUCGUAUAAAGGUCUAGAGCAGUGAGUCGUGUUGCUUGGGACUGCAGCGCUAAUCGGGAGGUAAUGUCCUUCCAAAGCUAAAUACUUGCGGGAGACCGAUAGCGAACAAGUACCGUGAGGGAAAGAUGAAAAGAACUUUGAAAAGAAAGUGAAAUAGUACGUGAAAUCGUUGGAAGCAAGCGAAUCAAUCUGUCUUUUCGCUGGGGGGCUCGCCCUCCUCCGAAGGCAGGAUCGUUUCGGGCCCCAGCAUGCGACAGCCCGCUGCCUUCGGGCCUGGGUCUUUGUCCGCUGGGCCCCGGAUCGAGGAUUUUUUGCGCGCCAAGCCCUAUGCCUUCGGGUAUUGCUUGGUCAGGAUCCUGCAUCCCGGAUUGAUCCGACCCGUCUUGAAACACGGACCAGGGAGUCUGACAUGUGUGCGAGUAUUAGGGUGGUAAACCCCGAUGCGCAGAGAAAUCGAGAUUGUCCGAUCCCUCACGGGUGCACGACAGGCAGAGCGUUAAUCUUCUGAUUAGUGCCUCGCAAGAGCAUUCAUGCCGGGACCCGAAAGAUGGUGAACUAUGCUUGUGCAGGGUGAAGUCAAGGGAAACCUUGAUGGAAGCUCGAAGCGAUACUGACGUGCAAAUCGUUCGUCUGACAUGAGUAUAGGGGCGAAAGACUAAUCGAACCAUCUAGUAGCUGGUUCCCUCCGAAGUUUCCCCCAGGAUAGCUGGAAUUCACUGUGAGUUUUAUCAGGUAAAGCGAAUGAUUAGAGGUAUUGGGGCAGAAGCUGCUUCGUCCUAUUCUCAAACUUUAAAUGGGUAAGAUGCAAGGUGUUGCUUAAUUGAACUCUUGCGUUGAAUCAGGGUUCUUAGUGGGCCAUUUUUGGUAAGCAGAACUGGCGAUGUGGGAUGCACCAGACGCUUUGUUAAGGGGCCUAAGUACUCGCUCAUUCAGAUACCAUAAAGGGUGUUGAUUCAUAUAGACAGCAGGACGGUGGUCAUGGAAGUCGAAAUCCGCUAAGGAGUGUGUAACAACUCACCUGCCGAAUGAAUUAGCCCCGAAAAUGGAUGGCGCUCAAGCGAGUUCCCGAAACAGGGCCAUUGGGGUAGAUGCGAUGCCCCAAUGAGUAGGAGGGCGUGUUGGUUGCAGCGAAGGCGCGGGCGUAAGCCCCGCUUUGAGCGGCCAAUAGUGCAGAUCUUGGUGUUAGUAGCAAAUAUUCAAAUGAAAACUUUGAAGACCGAAGUGGAGAAAGGUUUCACGUCAACAUCAUUUGGACGUGAGUGACUCGGUCCUAAGGUAUUCCGUAUGGGAUUCAGAAGGCGCGAUUUCUCGCGCCAUCGGCCAAAAGGGUAAUCGGUUAAAAUUCCGAUAGCUGGUCAAGGCGUUGAGCGGUAACGCGAUCGCAACCUGGUGACGCUUGCUUGGGCCCCGGGGAGAGUUAUCUUUUCUUUUUAACAACAGGCGUGCGUCUGAAAUGGGAUUAUCCCUAGAUAGACGGACUCCUGUGGCAGAGCGGCUGACUUCUUUAGCCGUCCGGUGCGCUCAGGAUGGCCCGUGAAAAGCCAGGGGAGUAGGUGCGCUUCGGCUAGGCCGUACUCAUAACCGCGUCAGGUCUCCAAGGUUAAAAGCCUCUGGUCAAUAGAACAAUGUAGGUAAGGGAAGUCGGCAAAUUGGUUCCGUAUGUUCGCGAUAUGGGAUGGCUCGCCAGACUGGAUGGUAGAGGCUCGGUCCAUGAAAGUUGCUAGCCGAUAGGACUGGCUAGGCGCCCCUCGGGGAGCUAGGCCGGGCUUGUUUGGUAGGCGGCCGGAGGGGCCGAGACAGCGCAGUGGGCUUCGGCACAUUGUUGCGUUCUCGCCAUAACAAGCAGUCAAUGUCGAACUCGUAGUGACCACGGAAACCCGACUGUUUAAUUAAAACAAAGCAUUGCGAUGGUCGCAAGUCGAUGUUGACGUAAUUUUGACUUUCUGCCCCAGUGCCAUGGAUGUCAAAGUGCGGAGAUUCAAACCAAGCGCUGGUAAACGGCGGGAGUAACUAUGACUCUCUUAAGGUAGCCAAAAGCCUCGUCAUCUAAUUAGUGACGCGCAUGAAUGGAUCAACGAGGUUUCCACUGUCCCUAUCUACUAUCUAGCGAAACCACAGCCAAGGGAACGGGCUUGGGAGUAACGGCGGGGAAAGAAGACCCUAUUGAGCUUGACUCUAGUCUGACAUUGUGAAAUGACCUGAUUGGUGCAGAAUAAGCGGGAGAGCAAUCGCCAGUGAGAUACCGCUACUUUCAGCGUUGUUUUACUUACUCGGUCAGCAUUCGCGGGCGUUAUACGCCCAUUUCUAGCGUUAAGGUUGGCCCUCGGGCCGGCCGAGAAUCGUCGUGGACACUGUCAGGUUGGGAGUUUGGCUGGGGCGGCACAUCUGUUAAAUGAUAACACAGGUGACCCAAGAUCAGCUCAGAGCGAACGGAAAUCGCUCGUUGAGUUUAAGGGCAAAAGCUGAUUUGACUUUCAGUUUCAGUAGAUCUGGAAGCAGUGAAAGCUCAGGCCUAGCGAUCCUUUAGAUCCUCGGACGUUGAGGCUAGAGGUGUCAGAAAAGUUACCAUAGGGAUAACUGGCUUGUGGCAGCCAAGCGUUCAUAGCGACGUUGCUUUUUGAUUCUUCGAUGUCGGCUCUUCCUACCCCUUUCUCGCACAAGGGAAAAAAGGUAAGAUGUCAC